UUGGGUGCUCCAGCACCCAUUGAAAUCAAUCACGGAGUGUAUAGUUAUAUAGAAAAUAUAAAGGAAACAAAUAUAAAUAGUUAAUAGAGCACCCAUGAAGUGAUAAGUCUGAUAGGUAAUUUGGUUAGGGGAGUGUUACGUCCCGUAUUUUUAUACAUUGGGACAACCCGGAUUAACUAUGAUAAUUUAAGGCCAAGGUUAUUCCGGGAUUUGAAGUCGGGACUUUUGACCAUUUGAUUUUAUUCGGAGACAUAAGUUAUAUAUGAAAUUGUUGGUAUUUGAACACUUAGGAGAAAUUGGGACCACAAUUCAUAAAAUUGGAAUUAAAAAUGUGGUGCAAAAUGCCUUGGUGGCCGUGUGAAUUAAAAAGGGGUCCCACACAUUGUGUGGCCAAUUUUAAUUGGUCCAACACAUUGUGUGGGCCAAAGUCACUAAGAGAUAUUUUGGUAUACUUUUAAAAGAUGAAGACCAAGUCUUCUUUUAUCAUUUGGCUCAUUUUAACACUUAGAAAAAAAAAAAAAAAAAAGAGCACCAAGCCAUGGAGGCUCUCGGCUGAACCAAGGGAAAACCAACCCCAUUUUUAACUUCCCAAAAAUUAUUUCCUUGGUGUUAACCCACUAUAUUGAGGUCCCUAAGUAGCGUGGAAGAGUUGUUUGGGUCAUCCAACCAUUAGUUGUACCCAUUUGCAAACCCUAGCUAUUUGGUGGAUUGAAGAAGAGAGACCUUGGGGAGCCCGAUGCGUAGAUUUGGAUUAGCUUUAGAUUGACUAUCUUGGAAGUGCGUUCGAGGUACCGACGCACAGUUUGGUGAUCCACCGCUUUAGGACACCCGUUUUGCCGUUGGAGUCCUCUUCUCCUUUCAGAGCAUACCUUUUGGUAUAUCUUUUGUUCACUAUGUUUGUAUAUAUUCGUUCAGGGGUACGGCAGGGCCCUGUCCCGCCAUAUGAUUCGUUUUGGUCUGUUUAGAGGUCUGUAGACUUAUUUGUGGGUGUGUGUGCCUACUUCUGUACAACUGUGUCCAUAUGGUCUCUUUCGUUAUGGCAGCCUUGUCGGCGUGCAUUUUGUAUAUGCUUUUGGGCCGUUGUGCCAUUUGAUAGCCUUGUCGGCUUUGAUAUAAUUGACAGCCUUGUCGGCUUUUGACGUAUUUGAUAGCCUUGCCGGCUCUUCGAUAUAUGUAUAUGUAUAUAUUCGUGUCUGAUACAGUUUGAGAUAGUUUGAGACGACAUAUAGCAUUUU